CGCCGGGCGCCAUCUUGUGCCCGCCCGAGGCGGCGGGAGCUGCCCGCGGCGCCCAGGCCGCGGCGUUGCUCGGGGCUGAGGGUCGGUUCCUGAGGGAAAACUGAUGCGGAGAAAACGGGCCCUGGGCUGAACCGCAGCAGCGGGGCCGUACUAGUUUGCGCACGUUACUCCAGUGGGAACGCGAUGCCUGUAUCUACCUGUGCAAUACUACCGUCCCCUCCCCACACAGAGCAGCUCCAAGGGAUGCCGAUUCUCUCAGAUACUGAUUUUACCAGUUGUGGUUGAGAAGCACUCACCUGCUUUAAGUACUAUGUUGCCAGAAUCAACUGAAUGGUGUGUGGAAUACUGCCAUCCACUGGUUGGCUGCACAGAAAACUCAUUGAACUUAAAUUUUAUUUAAGGGAAUACCUGAAAGGUCCCUUUACAGAGAAAAAAAGUACAACGGACAACCACCAUCUUCUCCAUGGAUUAGAUUGUACUUUGAGAGGCUGAGGUCAUCUGCUGAUUCAUUUUAUCAGCCAGAACAAGUAUGUAAAAGCUCAACCAAAAAUGAGUAAUGGAAACAGGAAGAUGAUUUGGGGAAAAAAAAACUGUGCUCAGGAGGAAUCUUAAGUUUGUCUUGUGUAAACUAGCAAGGAAGGCAAACCGCCAGAGGAGACAUCACCCUGUUAUAGUUGGAAGCCUUCUGUUUCCAAGUGAUAUUAAUGCAUAGCAAGUUUAUACUCA